GGGUUGUAGCAAUACAACUGCGGGCGACCGGCAAACGGGUGCGGAACACGUACGCAACUUACCCUUAUCUGGGGCAUAGCCCGGGGAAACCCGGAUUAAUUCCUCAUAAGAUCAUGGUGUGGCAUCACACAGUGAUUAAAGCUUUGGUGGAUAAGGAUGGGCGUGCGGCCCAUUAGGUAGUUGGCAGGGUAACGGCCUACCAAGCCUGCGAUGGGUAACUGGUGUGAGAGCACGACCAGUCACACGGGCACUGAGACACGGGCCCGACUCCUACGGGAGGCAGCAGUAAGGAAUAUUGGUCAAUGGACGCAAGUCUGAACCAGCCAUGCCGCGUGGAGGAUGAAGGCCCUCUGGGUUGUAAACUUCUUUUAUGGGGGACGAAACACAGAUAAUCUUAUCUGCCUGACGGUACCCCAGGAAUAAGCACCGGCUAACUCCGUGCCAGCAGCCGCGGUAAUACGGAGGGUGCAAGCGUUAUCCGGAUUCACUGGGUUUAAAGGGUGCGUAGGCGGGCAUGUAAGUCCGUGGUGAAAUCUCUGAGCUUAACUCGGAAACUGCCAUGGAUACUAUGUGUCUUGAAUACUCGGGAGGUGAGCGGAAUAUGUCAUGUAGCGGUGAAAUGCUUAGAUAUGACAUAGAACACCGAUUGCGAAGGC
rnacentral:rRNA from 1 species